UAGGGAAUCUUCCGCAAUGGACGAAAGUCUGACGGAGCAACGCCGCGUGAGUGAAGAAGGAUUUCGGUUCGUAAAACUCUGUUGUUAGGGAAGAAAAAAUGUAUAGUAACUAUAUACAAAAGAGACGGUACCUAACCAGAAAGCCACGGCUAACUACGUGCCAGCAGCCGCGGUAAUACGUAGGUGGCAAGCGUUGUCCGGAAUUAUUGGGCGUAAAGCGCGCGCAGGUGGUUUAGAAAGUCUGAUGUGAAAGCCCACGGCUCAACCGUGGAGGGUCAUUGGAAACUAAUAAACUUGAGUGCAGGAGAGAAAAGUGGAAUUCCUAGUGUAGCGGUGAAAUGCGUAGAGAUUAGGAGGGACACCGGUGGCGAAAGCGGCUUUUUGGCCUGCAACUGACACUGAGGCGCGAAAGCGUGGGGAGCAAACAGG
rnacentral:rRNA from 1 species